CUUAGCGAGGAGUCCCCAGUGCUUAGGGCGGUUUAGGCUGGCGGGGUGUUUUGUGGGAACCGGUUCUCCGCUAGGGCGGGGAAGUCAGUUGUGAAUUCUUUUCAAAUCCAGUCCAGCUUCAAAAGGGAGAGAAACCCUUGGUAGAGCGAAAGGGCGAAUGCUGGCUUGAGGAUACUUUUCAGUAGGAUGGAUCCGUGUGAAAGCAAGGCCUAUCGAUCCUUUUGUGUCGCCCUUUGGGGCGACGAUGGGAGAGCUCUAUUUUUACUGCUUCCCGCAAGAGGUGUCAGAAAAGUUACCACUGGGAUAACUGGCCUGUGGCAGCCAAGCGUUCUUAGCGACGUUGCUUUUUGAUCCUUCGAUGUCGGCUCUUCCUAUCAUUGCGAAGCAGAAUUCGCCAAGCGUUGAGACCGAUCGCAGAAGGCCACUUUCAGACCAUUCGCUCAACUGGAAAGUGCCCUUCUUGGCUAG
rnacentral:ncRNA from 1 species